UUAGAUUUCCACACAACCUCACUUCUAAUUUUCAGGAUUUGUAGCAAAUUAGUAGAGUUCAUUCCUUGCUUUACUGUGGUUACAUACAUUAUGGCUAGUUUAUUUAUCCUGAAUGGUGCUCUAAAAAUGUUGAAAGAAAUGAAAGUUUCUACAGUGGUUGAAGCUAUCAUUUCCAACCCUCCCCGGAUAUCAGUCUCACAGGCACUGCCGAGGCACCAUUUCAGCAUUUAUCUCCUUUGUUGUAAUUGGGUAUCCAAGAAUGUUUUUUUUUCAUUACAUAUCAUAAUCAUACAGUCGGGUAGAGAAAAGAAAUAAGAAACAUACGUUAAAUUGUUUUAGAAAGUGAAAAUAUUUAAACGUUUAAUUAGAACUUAUGUGUAUAUUAAAUUAUUUUUUGUGAAAAUAACUAAUAUUACCAAACACUGUUUACUUUUUACAGCAACAAGCAUUAGAACUAGCUUUGGAUCGUGCAGAGUAUGUCAUUGAAAGUGCCCGGCAGAAACCUCCUAAAAGGAAAUACUUAUCUAGUGGAAGAAAAUCUGUAUUUCAAAAACUUUAUGACUUGUAUAUUGAAGAAUGUGAAAAAGAACCUGAAGUUAAGGUAAAUAUAAAUUUUUUAUGUUAUUG